rnacentral:rRNA from 1 species
UACGAAGGGGCUAGCGUUGCUCGGAAUUACUGGGCGUAAAGCGCACGUAGGCGGCUUUCUAAGUCGGGGGUGAAAUCCUGGAGCUCAACUCCAGAACUGCCUUCGAUACUGGAGAGCUCGAGUCCGGGAGAGGUGAGUGGAACUGCGAGUGUAGAGGUGAAAUUCGUAGAUAUUCGCAAGAACACCAGUGGCGGAGGCGGCUCACUGGCCCGGUACUGACGCUGAGGUGCGAAAGCGUGGGGAGCAAACAGG